rnacentral:rRNA from 1 species
AACGAACGCUGGCGGCAUGCCUAACACAUGCAAGUCGAACGAGAUCUUCGGGUCUAGUGCGCACGGGUGCGUAACGCGUGGGAAUCUGCCCUUUGGUUCGGAAUAACAGUCGGAAACGACUGCUAAUACCGGAUGAUGACGAAAGUCCAAAGAUUUAUCGCCAGAGGAUGAGCCCGCGUAGGAUUAGCUAGUUGGUGCGGUAAAGGCGCACCAAGGCUAUGACGGCUACCGGCUCUUAGCGGAGAGUCCGGCACAAUGGGACUGAGACACGGCCCAUACACCUACGGGUGGCAGCAGUUAGGAAUUUUGCGCAAUGGACGAAAGUCUGACGCAGCGAUACCGCGUGAAGGAUGAAGUCUCUCGGGAUGUAAACUUCUUUUAGAUAAUCAUGAAGAUUGUCAGAAUAAGCAGCUACAAACUAUGUGCCAGCAGCCGCGGUAA